rnacentral:rRNA from 1 species
UACGUAGGGUGCGAGCGUUAAUCGGAAUUACUGGGCGUAAAGCGUGCGCAGGCGGUUCGUUGUGUCGGCGGUGAAAGCCCCGGGCUUAACCUGGGAAUGGCCGUUGAAACUGGCGAACUGGAGUGUGGCAGAGGGGGGUGGAAUUCCACGUGUAGCGGUGAAAUGCGUAGAGAUGUGGAGGAACACCGAUGGCGAAGGCAGCCUUCUGGGCCAACACUGACGCUCAUGCACGAAAGCGUGGGGAGCAAACAGG